CCUACGGGUGGCAGCAGUGAGGAAUAUUGGUCAAUGGCCGAAAGGCUGAACCAGCCAAGUCGCGUGAAGGAAGAAGGAUCUAUGGUUUGUAAACUUCUUUUAUAGGGGAAUAAAGGUAGCCACGUGUGGAUAUUUGCAUGUACCCUAUGAAUAAGCAUCGGCUAACUCCGUGCCAGCAGCCGCGGUAAUACGGAGGAUGCGAGCGUUAUCCGGAUGUAUUGGGUUUAAAGGGUGCGUAGGUUGUUUGUUAAGUCCGCUGUGAAAGUGUGUGGCUCAACCGUAAAAUUGCAGGGGAAAGUGGAAUGUUUGAGUACAGGAGAGGUGGGCGGAAGUCGUGGUGUAGCGGUGAAAUGCUUAGAUAGUAGGAAGAACUC
rnacentral:rRNA from 1 species